rnacentral:rRNA from 1 species
UACGGGGGGGGCAAGCGUUGUUCGGAAUUACUGGGCGUAAAGGGCUCGUAGGCGGCCAACUAAGUCGGAUGUGAAAUCCCCAGGCUUAACCUGGGAACUGCAUCCGAUACUGGAUGGCUUGAAUCCGGGAGAGGGAUGCGGAAUUCCAGGUGUAGUGGUGGAAUGCGUAGAUAUCGGGAGGAACACCAGUGGCGAAGGCGACUCUUUGGUCUGUAACUGACGCUGAGGCGCGAAAGCGUGGGGAGCAAACAGG